GUGUCAGCAGCCGCGGUAAUACGGAGGGUGCGAGCGUUGUCCGGAAUCAUUGGGCGUAAAGGGCGCGUAGGUGGCCCGGUCAGUCCGUGGUGAAAGCGCGGGGCUCAACCCCGCGUCGGCCAUGGAUACUGCUGGGCUCGAGCACUGUAGAGGCAGGCGGAAUUCCGGGUGUAGCGGUGGAAUGCGUAGAGAUCCGGAAGAACACCGGUGGCGAAGGCGGCCUGCUGGGCAGUAGCUGACACUGAGGCGCGACAGCGUGGGGAGCAAACAGGAUUAGAAACCCUGGUAGUCC
rnacentral:rRNA from 1 species